rnacentral:misc_RNA from 1 species
AAGACUAUAGACCUGCGGAGUACCUGCGGAGGGAUCAUUAACGAGUAAACUGAACAGGUUGUAGCUGGCUUCGCAAGGAGCAUGUGCACGCCUGGCUCAUCCACUCUUCAACCUCUGUGCACUUAUUGUAGGUUGGCGGGAAAGGCAAGUUCUUUUAUAGGAUUUGCUUGAAAGUCUUCCUAUGUUUUAUUACAAACGCUUCAGUUUAAGAAUGUGUAUUUCUGCGUAUAACGCAUCUAU